rnacentral:misc_RNA from 1 species
AAGAGACGCUGCCCUUCGGGGUAUACCUCCCACCCUUUGUUUAUUAUACCUUUGUUGCUUUGGCGGGCCCGUCCUCGGACCACCGGCUUCUGCUGGUCAGUGCCCGCCAGAGGACCUAAAACUCUGUUUGUUAAUAUUGUCUGAGUACUAUAUAAUAGUUA